UACGUAGGGUGCGAGCGUUGACCGGAAUUACUGGGCGUAAAGAGCUCGUAGGCGGUUUGUCGCGUUGUUCGUGAAAACUCACAGCUUAACUGUGGGCGUGCGGGCGAUACGGGCAGACUGGAGUACUGCAGGGGAGACUGGAAUUCCUGGUGUAGCGGUGGAAUGCGCAGAUAUCAGGAGGAACACCAACGGCGAAGGCAGCACUCUGGGCCGGUACUGACGCUGAGGAGCGAAAGCGUGGGGAGCAAACAGG
rnacentral:rRNA from 1 species